rnacentral:rRNA from 1 species
UACGUAGGUGACAAGCGUUGUCCGGAUUUACUGGGCGUAAAGAGCGCGCAGGCGGUCGUUCAAGUCGAGUGUGAAAGCCCCCGGCUCAACUGGGGAGGGUCAUUCGAUACUGAUCGACUCGAAGGCAGGAGAGGGAAGUGGAAUUCCCGGUGUAGUGGUGAAAUGCGUAGAUAUCGGGAGGAACACCGGUGGCGAAGGCGGCGAUCUGGGUCGAUACUGACGCUGAGGUGCGAAAGCGUGGGGAGCAAACAGG